AUGUAUGAUCCUGGCGACAGCUCCUCGUCCCGGCCGCAUCCGCACGGCAAGGAGGAGCUGCAGCCGGAGGUAUUUCUCUACACGGCGUCAGCUUCAGCAUCGCGCCGCAGAGGGCGCACCUCCGCCGACCGCUACGCCUUGUGCGCCCUGCUGCGCGGCUACGGCCUGGCCGUGGACGUGCGCGACGUGUCCAGGAGCAAAGCGCACCGCAGCGAUCUCAAGUCGUUGCUCGCGGCUCGGGGCUGCGCCUUCUCCCUCCCGCAGCUCCUCGUGGGCGGCCGGCUCGUCGGUGGCCCUGACGAUGUCAGGCAGCUGCACCAGGCCGGUGGGCUGCGGCCUCUCCUCAACGCCGCCCCAAGGCCGAGCCGCGCCUUCGUCUGCCAAGCCUGUAAGACGGUCGGCUCCGAGCCGUGCCCAAAGUGCAGGGAAUCUCGCAACAAGAUGCUGGAUCAUGGCAUUACUGAGGAGGCGGAGGAGAGGGUCGUCCUUUUCUAUCCAACCCAAGAUGUUUCAAUGGGAGGUGUAAGCAGAGAGAUGGAUGCCAGUUUCAGUGUUUCUCUGGGCGCCAUGAGACCUCUUCUUAAGAAGCUUGACAUGAUGCUAGGUCCUCAUGGAUGCAAGCUGACCAAAGGGGUCAAUGAUAGGUCGCCGCACCUCAAAGAUGAUCUUGAAGAAAUAGGCACAUACCUUGAAGAUCUGUUAGAGGUGGAGGACCCUCCCCUGUCAGCCAAGUGCUGGAUGAGAGAGGCACAUGAGUUAUCUUAUGACAUCCUAGAUUGUAUUGAUAACUUUGUGCCCCCCGAGUCUCCUGGCUACAAAUCUAUCCACAAGAUGACUCAUGUUAGGAUUCCCAUGAGGCUAAAGUGGCAGAAACAGAUUGAAUAUGCAGCUCCUGAUGUGUCAGGACAUGUUAUCCCCAAAAUCAUUCAUGUUGAUGUCAUUCGUGCUCCAAGGAGGCUCAAGUGGUACCAGCAGAUGGUUGAAAAGGUAUCGGAAUUCAGGAUCUAUGCCCAGGAGGUGGUAGGACGGUAUGAGAGGUACCAACUCCACCAUUGUAGCACCUUGAUGGCGCGUAGAUUUUCGUCUGUUGGGCCUAUGAUGCCACUGCCGCCACCCCCUUGUGAGAAAACUUUGUCCGGCCUAGUAAUUGAUGGUUGGAUGAGCAAGUUUAUCAACUCCCAGCUGGCUAAUGAUGAGAAUCAGCAGCUCAAGGUGGUGUCUAUUCACGGGUCUGGAUGUCUUGGUAAAACAAUGCUUGCCAAAGUGUUGUACAAUAAAAUUGGGAGGCAAUUCCAAUGUCGGGCUUUCAUCCGGGUGUCCAAAAAGCCUGAUAUGAAGAGGCUUUUCUGUGACAUGCUAUCACAAAUCCAGCGGAAGCAGCCCCAAGCAAGCCAAGACGCUUCUGAUGAACUUCACAUUACUGCUGAAAAUAUCAGGAAUUGUCUACAUGGCAAUAGGUAUCUUAUUGUUGUUGAUGAUUUACGGGAUACAGCAGCAUGGGAUGUUAUUAAUCAGCUUUUCCCCAAGUGUAGUCAAGGAAGCAGAAUAAUAACAACUACACAAAUUGAAGAUGUUGCAUUAGCAUGUUGCAGUGAUGACCCAGAACAAGUUUUUGAGAUGAAUCCUUUGGAUGAUGAUCACUCAAGGAAGCUAUUCUUUGACAGGCUUUUUGGUUCUGAAAGUGACUGUCCUGAAGAAUUCAAACAAGUUUCAAGCCAAAUUGUAGAAAUAUGUGGUGGUUUGCCGCUAGCCACCAUCAGCAUUGCUAGUCUGCUGGCAAACCAGCCUUCUUUAUCAGUGGAUUUGUUGACACACAUACAUGAUUCGUUAGUGUCUUGUUUGUCAUCAAAUUCGACUUCAGAAAGAACGAAACAAGUACUAAACCUGAGCUACAACAGCCUUCCUCAUUACCUCAAGACAUGCUUGCUCCAGCUCUGUAUGUAUCCAGAGGGCUCCAUAAUCUUCAAACAUGACCUGGUGAAGCAAUGGGUGGCUGAAAGGUUUAUUUCUACAAGUGAAGGGCAAAACAUGGAGGAAGUUGCAGGGAUGUAUUUCGAUGAGCUUGUUGAUAGAAGAUUCAUCCAGCCCAUGUAUAUGAACUUCAACAAUGAGGUGGUGUCCUGCACAGUGCAUGACUUGGUACAUGAUUUUAUUGCACACAAGUCUGCAGAAGAGAAUUUCGUUGUGGUAGUAGAUCACAAUCGGAAGAUUUUGGCACUUUCUCAUAAGAUCCAUCGACUCUCUCUUCAACUUGGUGAUGCAAAAUAUGCCAAGAUUCCAGCAAACAUCAGAAAGUCGCAAGUACGUUCACUUGGAGUUUUUGGAUUACCAGAGUGCAUGCCUUGCAUUGCAGAGUUCAAGCUUGUUCGUGUUCUAAACCUUCAGCUGUCUGGUCGUCGUCAUGGUAACCAAGACCUGUCCAUAGACCUCUCUAGAGUAUCAGAACUGUUCCAUCUGAGAUAUCUGAAGAUUGUUUGUGAUGUCUGCAUAAAACUUCCAAACCGUAUGAGAGGGCUGCAGUGUUUGGAAACACUGGAUGUGAUGGAUACACCAAGAGGCACUUAUGUUCCAUGGGACAUUAUAUAUCUCACACGCUUGUUGCACCUCGGUCUUCCUCCUGACACAAAUAUGCUGGAUUGGGCUGUCGGUGACGGUCUGAGCCUUUGCAGGCCGAACCACCUGCAGGAUCUUUGCAUUUCUACACCGCUUUCUUCAGAUUACGACCAUCUGAAGAGAAACAUGCAUGCUAUGGAUUAUUUAAGGUAUGAACAUGAAAGCCUGAAAGCUAUAAAACUGGUGGCUCACGGAUCCUCGGUUAGCUAUGGUGACGCAUCAAAAGCAAGAGUUAAGUGGGUUUUGGAUCACCCGCAAAAAAAUAAAAAAUUGUGGUGGUGUGCCGUCAGCACUACUUUGCAUGUUUUCAGCAAUGGCAAUGGUCCGAGAGCAACAAGAACAACUAGGAGUACAUGUAAAGGCAUGUAA
rnacentral:rRNA from 1 species